rnacentral:rRNA from 1 species
UGCAAGUCGAACGAGGUGUGUGGAAGGUAACGGAAGCACACUUAGUGGCGAACGGGUGAGGAAUAGAUAGGUAACGUACCCUGGACACAGGAAUAGCGGCGGAACUUCGGUUCCUUUGCGAAAGUGCCGGUAAUACCUGAUGAUAUCACUGGAUCGCAUGGUCCGGUGAUCAAAGGUCCGCAGGUCUGGGAGCGGCCUAUCUCCUAUCAGCUUGUUGGUGGGGUAACGGCCUACCAAGGCUACAACAGGUACCAGGCGUGAGAGCGCGAUCUGGCACAUCGGGACUGAGACACUGCCCGGACAUCUACGGAUGGCUGCAGCAACGAAUAUUCCGCAAUGGGCGAAAGCCUGACGGAGCGACGCCGCGUGUAGGAUGAAGCACUUCGGUGUGUAAACUACUGUCAGGGGUUAGGAAGAAAGUGACCAACCCCAAAGGAAGCCUCGGCUAACUCCGUGCCAGCAGCCGCGGUAAUACGGAGGAGGCAAGCGUUGUUCGGAAUUACUGGGCUUAAAGCGUGCGUAGGCGGGAUGGCAGGUGUCGUGUGAAAGCCCUCGGCUCAACCGAGGAACUGUUCGGCAAACCGUCAUUCUUGAGGCCAGCAGGGGGACCUGGAACUUUGGGUGGAGCGGUGAAAUGCGUAGAUAU